UGGAGAUGGAGAUGGAGAUGGAGAAAGAGAAAAAGAAAGGAUAGAAAUGGGUGAGAAUAAGAUGAGCAGAGAAUAUGAACGCGAGAGUUGAGAAUUUGAAAGGAAAAAAGAAGAGGUUGAAAGGCAGUUAGGUUAGCCAUGGAGUGCUGGGUAAUGAUGUAAACAGUCUGUUUUUUUUGUCACAGUUGUUCUUCACCCUAAAUAGCCAUAGUCAUCUUAACAAGCAGUUUUCUAGUUGUGC
rnacentral:misc_RNA from 1 species